rnacentral:tRNA from 1 species
GGGGGCACAGUUCAGGGGUAGAGCAUUUGACUGCAAACCAAGGGUCCCUGGUGCAAAUCCAGGUGUCCCCU